CAAGAGCAUCCUUGAGACUGCGAAAACAAGUUGGAGAAGACAUUUUGUUUAGAUGUUCUUCCUUAGCUUGAUUGAGCACACAGUGCAAUUGCGGCCUCAUCUUCUGGACCUUCCCCUCAAUGAAGCCGUCAAAGGAGAGUUUGAAAGUCUCUUCUUAGACAAGCCAAAAUUGAUUAUUUUGAGCGGCUUCGCCCAGAAGAACUGAAUCAACAAAAUAUAGAAGCCUUAGUUGCUGAGAACAAUCUGGAGUGGGUCAAGGAAAGGUCAGUGCACUCCAAGGAAACCCCACAGUUCAUGUCAGGUGCUCAGUCAUUGGAGAAUAUCACAAGUAAAGGCACUGCAGAAACUGGAAGUGCAGUUUCCUUUAGUGAUGAUGAAGACCUCAGCCAGUUAUCUGGGUCAAAAUCUACCACUAGGGGCAGAAGUAGUUCAUCAGCAACUUUUAAGUCCUCCCAUGAUGCUUCUGAACAUGGUAAAGGUAAAACUUGUAGAUAACUUUUGGGGAAAUCAAACCUAACUUGAACUUGAUUCCACCUUGCACCUAUGCUUCUAGGAAAAUUAUUGAUUUUGUGAAUGGACUAUGUUGAAUUGUUCUACCGAUGUUUGAUGUUCUUCCUUCUUUAUUUUGGAAAAAACUAAGCCAUGAUGUGUGUAUUUGAUGAAUUAAUUCAGCAUAUUUGGUUGACUGAUUUGGUAAACCUUGCACUGGCCUAAUUUAUGUUCUCUAUUUGAAAACUAAGAAAGUAUCAAGAACUGGUGACCCUUUUCUUGAGACAUUGGUGAAGGUACAUCAUGAAGCAUUUCCCAUAGUCACUCAUUAGAAUUGUAGUUCUGUUUCUGAAUUGAGAAAUGUGUUUGCAAAAUACCCCAGUUUGCCUUAUUUUUCUGGUUGUGUUGCCCAGAAUAUCACAAAUGAAUGGGCUAAAGGAGUGUUUAGUGAUGCCGAAAAACAUUAACACAUCAUAUAUAUGUUAUUGUUUCUUCUUUUUCUUCUUCUUCCUAUUUUCUCUGGUUUUUAUUUUUUCUUUAAGAUUUUAGAUUCUUACAGGUGCAUAUUGCAUAGAGAGGUGUUGGUGCAACCUUUGAUUGAGAUGCUUCAUUAUGCAGAUGUACAGUUGAGGGAAAUGUCAUCCUUUGCAUUGGGGAGAUUGGCAUAGGUUAUACUCCUAGAAUUCUUUUAUUUCCUUUUCAAAUUACAAUUGACAAAUAAUAUUGAAGGCAUGAAAUGCUUACUAUAUUAUAUCAAUGAAUAGUCUGUUUCUUUCAAGUAAUCUUUACAGGAUUCAUCACAACAAGUAGUUUUGUUUUAGAGUCAUUUCAAACACAAUAUAUUUCUGAAUAUUAUUUUA